rnacentral:rRNA from 1 species
GAUUAACGCUAGCGGCAGGCAUAAUACAUGCAAGUUGAACGGCAGCACAGGUAGCAAUACUGGGUGGCGAGUGGCGCACGGGUGCGUAACACGUAUGCAACCUACCCUAUACAGGCGAAUAACCUUUAGAAAUGAGGGCUAAUGCGCCGUAGUAUUACAGAUGGGCAUCUAUUUGUAAUUAAAGAUUUAUCGGUAUAGGAUGGGCAUGCGUCCCAUUAGUUAGUUGGUAAGGUAACGGCUUACCAAGACGAUGAUGGGUAGGGGAUCUGAGAGGACUUACCCCCACACUGGUACUGAGACACGGACCAGACUCCUACGGGAGGCAGCAGUAAGGAAUAUUGGGCAAUGGCCGCGAGGCUGACCCAGCCAUGCCGCGUGCAGGAAGACGGCCUUAUGGGUUGUAAACUGCUUUUAUACGGGAAUAAUAGAGUGUACGCGUACAUUUAUGCAAGUAUCGUAUGAAUAAGCAUCGGCUAACUCCGUG